GCAUUAAUGGGGUAGUGGUAACCUUGGUCGUUGCCAUUAGCACAUUCGACCAGCCGGGGGUUCAAUUCCCCCUUAAUGCA